rnacentral:lncRNA from 1 species
GUCGAGGGGGCGCCCCGGCGGUCGCAGGGAAGGGGGAGAGGGGAGCGAGGCGCGGGGGGCGCCGGGAGAGCGCCUCCGCGGUGGGACGGAGCCGGACUGGGCCGAGCGAGGGAGGCUCCUGAGCCUCGGAGGACCCCGGGGUUGGCUUUGGGAGCUGAAAGUUUCCUUGGACCCCUCGGAAGCCCCGUGACAUCAGAGGCCGGGCCUGGCAGGGGCAGGCAGGAAACGUGUCUGGAGGCUACUGCCCUCUCCGCGUGACCUUGGGCGAGCAGCCUCCUCCUGGGGCUCAGUGGGUGUGAUUUUGUAACAUUUCCCAGCGCUGCCACAGGCGCGUCUCGCCCUGUCCAACGCGGAGCCCGAAGAAUUACUAAGAAACCGAGGUCUGAAGGAGGGAAGAGGUGACGGGCUCGAGGCCACACGGUGGGCCAGGCUGGGCCCGGCUGCACGCCGGCUACCGGGGCCCAGCCCUCUGCACGCCUCCCGCAGCCUCAGUUUCCCUGUCCGUGGUACUGAGGAUGCUCGGGCCUAGAAGUUCAGGGCUGGAGGCCCAGGGACCGUCGAGGGAGGGGCAUCAUCCCCGCCAUGGGGCCGCCGCAACUGCCCAGAGCACAGGCCAAAGACCCCUGAGGCCCCCUCCUCCUUCAGAGCAUGCACGUCGCAAAUUCUCAAUGACUGUUUGGAGGAAUGAAUAAAUGAAUUGUGAACAAAUGGUCUGAAGAUUCCAGAGGUAGCCUAAUGGGGCCCUGCUGCUUGAGUUCUAAUCCCAGCCCCACCAGUUGUUGGCUAUUUGGCCCUGGGCAGGUGAUUAUUCUCUCUUUGCCUCUGUACCUUGCCCGUAAAAUGAGGAGAAUACCAGUACCUACUGCAUAAGGUUGUUAAAGGAUUAAAUGAGUGAAUAGUUACAAAGAGCCUGGAACAGAGUGUUCAAAGAAACACACAGCCACAGUAUUAAAAAAAUUAAAAACCCAUUUCUCUCCAGGCUUCUGCCAUCACUCUGUGUGACUUCAACAUUCUACCUGCAUGACCUAUGCAGCACCUGGCCGCUGUUACCUUGCCACCCUCACUGACAUCUUCUCUGCAUAGGCCUUCCACCAUGCCCUGUACUUUCUCCCCACUAGAAAUAGCCCUGGCUCUGAAAUGUGUUUUAAUCAUCCCACUUUGGGUCCACCAGUUCCUAGCCUUUGAGCUUAGGCCUCUCCUCCAGGACCCUCCCUGGCUACGAUUUCCCAACCCCUCUCGACCUUCCAUUCACUGACCUUGCCACUUUCUUGCCUCUUGUCUGCACCUCUCCCCAUCCCUAGUGUGGAUUCCAUCCCCUUGUGAACGCUGCCACCCGUCCUGGCAGAGACUCAGUACUUCCACUCUCUGAAUGCAUUUCUUCUUCCUAGGCACACCAGAAGACUACAUUUCCUAGCCCCCCACCCCCUUGCAGUGUCUGGGACCAUGUGACUCCUUAAUUAGGUCACUUCUCUCUCCUGGGAGGCCCUCUCUGCCCUCUCUAAGUCUAACUAGUGGCAAAGGAUCUAAGGGAAGAAACCUGGCAGAGUUACUAGUCCCAAGAAGCCUGGGUCCCUGAAUCACCACAUGGAAGUCUACGCGCCCACCACCUGAAUGGACUAAGGAAGCUGCAGGAUGAAGACAACAGCAUCACAAGGAGGAAGCCAGGAUCCCUGUGUUACCACAAGGAGGAGAGAUGCCUAACCAAGACCGUCUGCAAGGAUUUUGUGUGAGCCAGAAGCAGAGCUGUAUGGUGUUCAGCCACUGAGAUUUGAGGGCUGUUUGUUACAGCAGUUGACCUAUCCUGACUGACACAUCACAUCAUUCCUUUCCCCACCAUGUGUCUAACAUGCUACCAAAUUGAAUUUUAAGUAAAUUAGUACUUAUAAAUUAAGUACAAAUGCUUUUCAAAUUCACAUGAAUCUUUGGUAAAUAAAACUGGUUGUAAAAUUAUUGAUAAAUAUAGA